rnacentral:rRNA from 1 species
UGGGGAAUAUUGCACAAUGGGCGCAAGCCUGAUGCAGCCAUGCCGCGUGUAUGAAGAAGGCCUUCGGGUUGUAAAGUACUUUCAGUCGGGAGGAAGGUGUCAAGGUUAAUAACCUUGGCAAUUGACGUUACCGACAGAAGAAGCACCGGCUAACUCCGUGCCAGCAGCCGCGGUAAUACGGAGGGUGCAAGCGUUAAUCGGAAUUACUGGGCGUAAAGCGCACGCAGGCGGUUGAUUGAGUCAGAUGUGAAAUCCUCGGGCUCAACCUGGGAACUGCAUCUGAUACUGGCAAGCUUGAGUCUCGUAGAGGGGGGUAGAAUUCCAGGUGUAGCGGUGAAAUGCGUAGAGAUCUGGAGGAAUACCGGUGGCGAAGGCGGCCCCCUGGACGAAGACUGACGCUCAGGUGCGAAAGCGUGGGGAGCAAACAGG